rnacentral:lncRNA from 1 species
AGAAUUUUCUGUCUCAUUUGUCAACUUCACACUGUGAACCCCCAAAAGAGUUGUCUUCAAAAUAAUUGCCCUUGUUGCUUCUCUUUACAGAGUUCUCCCCACAUUAUUAAUGGUAUGGGAAUUAGGAGAAGGUCAUCUGACUCACAUGGAUCACCAUAUAAUUCCUUCUGGAGAACAGAAAAAAUGCAGAAGAGGAAAACCUCCAUAUGUGAAGCUAUGGCAAGGGAGUCUCCCCACCCCGCGCUCCAACAGAGUCUGGAGAUAAACCCUCAGAGACUCAGGAUUCAUGUGGCUCCAUAAACAUGGCCCAAUCUAUUGUCAAACCAGAAUGGUAGAACUGAAAGCAUCUCCAA